UACGAAGGGUGCAAACGUUGCUCGGAAUCAUUGGGCGUAAAGCGCACGUAGGCGGCUUAGCAAGUCGGAUGUGAAAUCCCUCGGCUCAACCAAGGAAGUGCAUCCGAAACUGCUGAGCUUGAGUACGAAAGAGGAUCGCGGAAUUCCCGGUGUAGAGGUGAAAUUCGUAGAUAUCGGGAGGAACACCAGUGGCGAAGGCGGCGAUCUGGGUCGAUACUGACGCUGAGGUGCGAAAGCGUGGGGAGCAAACAGG
rnacentral:rRNA from 1 species